UCCAUCUAAAACCAGGUGCGGUCGCGGCCUCCAGGUGAUAACCAGGGUGGUUUCGCGCCGCAUUCCUGCACCCUUUUUUUACGAGCACCUUUGUUCUCCUUCGGCGGGGCAACCUGCCGCUGGAACUUGAUAAAACCUUUUUUUGCAUCUAGCAUUACCUGUUCUGAUACAAAUAAUCGUUA
rnacentral:misc_RNA from 1 species